rnacentral:lncRNA from 1 species
CAAGAGGCUGCAAAUAGCAGAAAUGGAUGACAACAGAUAGCGGUAUUUAACAAGGGCCAUCUGGCCUCGAAGGGGCACUGGCACUCAGGUUCAGCCGGCAAGAAGCAGCUCCAGCGUGAGAAACUCAGAAACCAAGGCUAUGUGGCGAGUCUCAGUAGCAGACAAGGCCAAGUUCACAGCAUAUUCCGGUCUUGCUUUUGCAGACCUGCAAGCCAGCCCUGCGCCCUGGUGCCCCAACGCCAGCCAGCCUCUGAGAAAGGAGCCAGGGCAGCACAAGUUCUGCAGAGAAAAUAACAACCUCAGCAUGCAGCCUGGAGCAAGAAAAACAGUGAGCUAUUUAAACCCCGC